AUGGGGCCGUGGUGCCGGGCCGCGCAGAACCCUUGGGACCCCCGCGGCGCCCAGGUUGGGGCUCAGGGCCCGGAGAACGUUUUCCCGCGUGGCUAUGGCUUUGUCAGAAUCAGGAGCGGGAGAGGCGCCCACAGAUUCCUGAGGGCAGAACCGCCUGGUUCCCAGGCCGAAAGGAGCCGGCGAGGCGACCCCCGAUCCCGGGACGGAGCCGCGGGAACGGGGGAUUCUAGGCGUCCGCUCCCGCCCAGCAGGUUAAUUUUUCCCGCGACGCGCUUCGUAUCGCUUCUUACACCAAAUAUGUAUUCAUGUGUUCAGUCAUGUAAAAGCGCAUUUUGAAGGAGGAUCCAGAACUAUGAGCUCCCUUGAAAACUGCAAGCUUCGUAACUUUACGACUCUUAAAAAAAUGAAAUGUACAUUUUGAGUUUCCCAGAAGUGAUGAGCAGCAAAGCUUUUAAGAUGAAAGGGGCUCUGAACUGCCUUUGGGAGAUGCCGGCCAGGAUCCCGGAGAACCGAGGGGGUGGCGCCCGUGCCCAAGGCCUGGGGGGACCUGGGGCCCUGGCGCGGGACGCACAGGGAGGGCGGGGGCUGGGCCUGGCAGGAGCCCCCAGCCGAGUGGGAAGAGCCAGAUAAUAACCUAACGAUACUAACCUAACUAUACCGUCACCCAGAGAGGAGGGCAGCACCCCUCCCACAUGCCUCCCUCCCCCGGUGACCGCUAAACCUACCGGCCGCAAACAUCACGAAAUAGAAUUAAACACUGGCGCCUACUAAGGACCACUCCACCCAGUACAAACUAAAUUUGAGAGUUCAUCUUCACGCAAAUAAUAAGAAUGUUAAAAAUGUAUAUAUGCUCCUUUUCAAACAAGGCCUAAUAGGCCUGGCCUCCUGGGCUAGGGGGCUUAGAAAAUUGCAAAUGCAAGAUGGCAUGGUGUGGCUCCGGGGUGCUGUCAAAAUAAGCACAUUGCAAGCACAAACUGAUGAAAGUCAAAAACUAUCAAACAGAGGUUGCAAAACAAAGUCAGGAUCCAAACACAGCCCAUAUAAAGACGCUACAAAUAAAACACAGAAAACCAACUCAGAACACUUGGACAAAUAACACAAAUCCCCCUGGCUAAUGCGAAGGAACACAGGGCUUAUGCCCAGACAGCUGGCUUCCUCUCAGUCUAGCAACAUCCACUCCAUGAAUUGUCAUUAAACUG
rnacentral:lncRNA from 1 species